rnacentral:lncRNA from 1 species
CCACUCGGUAAUACAACAUCACAAUAAGCCUUGCAAGCAAUGUGACUAAGGAGUUAGUCACAUGAUCUUGUAUUACGAAAUGAGUAAAGAGACUUGUCGGUAACGUAAUUGAAUUAGGUAUGGAGAUACCGACGAUCGAAUCUCGGGCAAGUAACAUAUGAUGGACAAAGGGAACAACAUACAGGAUUAACUAAAUCCUUGACAUAGAGGUUCAACCGAUAAAGGUCUUUGUAGAAUAUGU